AGAGGGGUGCGAGCGUUAAUCGGGACUUACUGGGGCGUAAAGCGUGCGUAGGCGGCUUUUUAAGUCGGAUGUGAAAUCCCCCGAGCUUAACUUGGGGAAUUGCAUUCGAUACUGGGAAGCUAGAGUAUGGGAGAGGAUGGUAGAAUUCCAGGUGUAGCGGUGAAAUGCGUAGAGAUCUGGAGGAAUACCGAUGGCGAAGGCAGCCAUCUGGCCUAAUACUGACGCUGAGGUACGAAAGCAUGGGGAGCAAACAGGAUUAGAUACCCUGGUAGUCCAUGCCGUAAACGAUGUCUACUAGCCGUUGGGGCCUUUGAGGCUUUAGUGGCGCAGCUAACGCGAUAAGUAGACCGCCUGGGGAGUACGGUCGCAAGACUA
rnacentral:rRNA from 1 species